UCCAGCAUGGCGCAGUGGUCUGAGCGUUGGACUAGGACUCUGGAGACCAGGGUUUGAAUCCCAGCUUGAC